UGCGGAUAUGGCGCCUUUUUUUCCGCCAAAUCUAAAUUCAUUUCACGGAGUAUUGGGUUCUUUUGUUGUCAAAAGUCAUUUUCCAAGUUUAAAUAUUUCCACGAACAUAGCAAAAAACACAUGGAAAGCCACUUUCAUAAGGCGGCACAAGAAGCUGCUAGAUUAUUUCUAGAAAAUGUGCUUGUGGACGCACAAAUAAAUAAAUACCAAAACGUUAUUCAGGAAAAUAGAAAGAUAAUAACAUCUAUUAUUUCCUAUAUUGUGUUUUGCGGAUCCCGAGAAAAUCACUACGGUGAUGGAAUUGUAGAGGACUUAUUCAAGCUUAAAAUCGACGCUGGAGACAAUGUUUUAAAAAAGCAUAUGGAGCAUGGAAAAGGAAAUGCAAGCUAUCGAUCAGUUGAAAUUCAAAAUGAAAUCAUCAGCCUUUGUGCGCUGCCUUCAGAAUAGCAUUUAUUAUGCGUCUCACGAUAAAUGCGAAAUACUCGGCGAUGCUGGAGCCGGUAGUCAACGUGCUUUAAUCAACUACUUUGGAUGCGGUCAAGGCCUAUCAGCACAUUAAACGCAUAAUACAACUGUUAAGAAGCCAUCGAGAUGAUCCUGAUAGUAUAACGGAUGAAGUAUUAAGAGAUGCAACAGUCGUUGCAGAGACAAUUGUGUUGGAGGAGGAUAUAACAUCACUUUCUCGUAUAUUUGGCAAGCAAUGUCACCGAAAAAACCGUCCAGCUGAAAAAAGCUCAGAGUAUUGGAGGAGGUCAUUGUUUAUUUCUUACUUGGAAUCAAUUAUUAGCUCACUAGAUAAUCGGUUUUCCGAUGAGAAUAAUGUAUCAUUUUUUUUAUUCUAUUUACAUCCGGCAAAAAUGCAAAUAAUGUCAGCAGACUCACUUAUCAAAAGUAGUUUUACGAUUUACCCAGCCUUCAAAAUAUAAGGAAACAAAUGUAUCUGAAAUGACUGUUCUUGAUACGAUUCAGCACGCAAAUGAAUUAAAUCCCGAUAUUCAAAGAGUUCUGAAGAUGUUAAUCGCUUUACCGUGUAGAACUUGUUCAGUUGAGAGGUCAUUUAGCAGCUCAAGACGUAUAAGGACUUGGCUGCGAAGAACAAUGGUAGAAAGUCGUCUUAAUGGACUGGCUUUGAUGAGU
ensembl:ncRNA lncRNA:CR45188 long non-coding RNA:CR45188